CGAAGUAUAGCAUUUUACAUGCUUUCCGCUUACACCGGAACUAUAGUUCCCCAGAACUUACUUUGA
rnacentral:tRNA from 1 species